UGAUCCUCGGAUGCAACUUGGCAUGGCAUUAAAGUACAUAAAAGAUAACAUAUCAAGGCAAAAAGCUAUAAGGCUGCUCCUUCUUCAUAACUUUGAGUGCAGAAAAACUUUACAGAGUUGCCGAAAGAUAUGGAUUCCAAGAAAGAAGAGGUAGCUGAUAAUAAAACUCAUCAUAUCUUAUGUAUUCCAUGGCCAGUUCAAAGCCAUAUCAAAGCAAUGCUUAAAUUAGCAAAGCUUCUUCAUUCUAGAGGUUUUCAUAUCACUUUUGUCAACACCGAGUACAACCAGAAACGCUUUCUUAAGUCUCUGGGUCCCGACUCUCUCCACGGCUUGCCUGACUUCCAGUUCGAAACAAUUCCUGAUGGCCUCCCGCCUUCAGAUGCUGAUGCUACGCAAGACCUUAUUUCUCUUCUCGAAGCCUUCGUGGAGAAGAUGUUGGCUCCCUUUUGUGAUCUCCUCAAAAGACUCAACGACAUGACCAGAACUCGCAAUGAUAGUCCCCCUCCAGUGACUCGCAUUGUUUCCGAUGGAUUCUUGCCAUUCACCAUCGCCGCUGGACGAGAACUUGGAAUUCCAGUCGUGUUCUUUUAUACUAUUUCGGCCUGCUCUUUCAUGGUCUUCAAACAACUAGGUACUCUACUUGAGAAAUUAGGACCUCCACCAGUACCAAAAGACAUAAUCAUAGAUUGGAUUCCGGGAAUGAAAGAAAUUCACGUUAGGGAUAUGCCAAGGUUCUUUUGGUCAGGAAGUACACGAGAUCAUUUUGCGCUCAACUUCUGCAUAGAAGGAACAGAAAAAGCCCAUCAAGCUUCCGCAAUUAUUUUUCAUACAUUCAAUGCAUUGGAGCAAGAUGUUUUGGAUGCGAUCUCAUCUAUGUUUCCCAAAGUGUUUGCGAUUGGUCCUCUUCAACUUCUUCUUAAUUACAUAUCGGAACACCCUUUAAAACUCAAAUACAGUCUUUGGAAGGAAGAUAGUGAAUGUCUUCAAUGGCUCAAUACCAAGCCAAAAGGCUCAGUUUUGUAUGUCAACUUUGGGAGCAUAGCAGUCAUGUCGCCGCAACAGCUCGCGGAGUUUGGUUAUGGAAUUGCAAAUAGCAAACACCCUUUCUUGUGGAUUAUCAGGCCUGAUUUGGUUGGUGGCGAAACCGCUGUUUUGCCGCCCGAGUUCGCGGCUGAAACGAAAGGAAGAGGAUUGAUAGGGAGUUGGUGCCCACAAGAGGAGGUUCUGAAUCAUCCAUCAAUUGGAGGUUUUUUAACACAUAAUGGUUGGAAUUCAACCGUGGAAAGCUUGUCUUCAGGUGUACCAUUACUGUGUUGUCCAUUUUUGGGGGACCAACCCACGAACUGCAGAUUUUCUUGCAAGGAGUGGGGUAUUGGAAUGGAGAUGGACAAAGAAACAGUAAAGAGAGAGGGAGUCAAGAAGCUUGUGAAAGAGUUGAUGGAGGGAGAGAAGGGUAAGAAAAUGAGAAAGAAUGUGAUGGAGUGGAAAAGACUAGCCCAUGAGGCUACUGAGCCUAAUGGUUCUUCAUCCAUUGACUUGGAUAACUUAGUUAGCCACUUAAUUUCUUGAAAAGGGUUGGCUUGAUAUAUCUAGCUUCACUUCAACCGGAGACUGAAAAAUAUAAGGUUGUGGCCACUCCUUGAAUUUGUGUUAUUUCAUUGUCAUCCUCUGUUAACUGAACUGACAAAGACAAUGAAGGAUGGCAAUAACUGCAAUGUACACUGAAGAAGCUUAACGACAAUACUAAGAGUACAAUAAUUGUAUAUAGCAAUUAAUGCGUGCACCUAAAUCUAUUCUUUGUUAUCACCAUUCAAAUUAUAAAUUUUGGAUUCAAAUUUUCUUCAUUAUUUUUUUAAUUUUCCAUAUAAGAAGUUGUGUAACAGCCCAGCCCACCUGUAACAUCCCGUCCGGAAGUGCACCGAAAAUUUCUCAAGUUGACCGUCGUCGAUCGAAAAGGAGUCAAACUUUGACUUUUUGACUCGGUAAGAAUUCUAGGUUGACCAAGGUACUAUUGUGAAGUAUGCAUUGACCCGAGACCGUAGACUAGUAGCAUGUCGAAAAUGGAGCUACGGUUUGAAACUUAUGAGUAAAAGAAGUUGAGGUCCGAACUGUCUGAGGGUGCCAGAGUUGACUUUUUAUUCUUGUAAAAUUGAGCUUUGACUUAUGUAUGGUUGUGAAAUACUCAUCGAUUUGAGUUUGUAGACUAGUGGUACGCCCGAUUUAGACAUGUGGUUGGAAAGUUACAGAUCUAUGAAGUUUUUCCGAAACAGUUGUUACUAUUCAUUGAUCUGUGAGUGUGCGUGAACAGCAACGCCACGUG